UUGGUGCCUUCGGGAACUCUGAGACAGGUGCUGCAUGGCUGUCGUCAGCUCGUGUUGUGAAAUGUUGGGUUAAGUCCCGCAACGAGCGCAACCCUUAUCCUUUGUUGCCAGCGGUUAGGCCGGGAACUCAAAGGAGACUGCCAGUGAUAAACUGGAGGAAGGUGGGGAUGACGUCAAGUCAUCAUGGCCCUUACGAGUAGGGCUACACACGUGCUACAAUGGCGCAUACAAAGAGAAGCGACCUCGCGAGAGCAAGCGGACCUCAUAAAGUGCGUCGUAGUCCGGAUUGGAGUCUGCAACUCGACUCCAUGAAGUCGGAAUCGCUAGUAAUCGUAGAUCAGAAUGCUACGGUGAAUACGUUCCCGGGCCUUGUACACACCGCCCGUCACACCAUGGGAGUGGGUUGCAAAAGAAGUAGGUAGCUUAACCUUCGGGAGGGCGCUUACCACUUUGUGAUUCAUGACUGGGGUGAAGUCGUAACAAGGUAACCGUAGGGGAACCUGCGGUUGGAUCACCUCCUUA
rnacentral:rRNA from 3 species